CCUACGGGAGGCAGCAGUGAGGAAUAUUGGUCAAUGGACGGAAGUCUGAACCAGCCAUGCCGCGUGCAGGAAGACGGCUCUAUGAGUUGUAAACUGCUUUUGUACAAGGGUAAACCUGAAUACGUGUAUUCAGCUGAACGGACUGUACGAAUAAGGACCGGCUAACUCCGUGCCAGCAGCCGCGGGAAUACGGAGGGUCCAAGCGUUAUCCGGAUUGAUUGGGUGUAAAGGGUGCGUAGGCGGAUUGAUAAGUUAGAGGUGAAAUGUCCGGGCUUAACUCGGGAACUGCCUCUAAUACUGUUGAUCUAGAGAGUAGGUGCGGUAGGCGGAAUGUAUGGUGUAGCGGUGAAAUGCUUAGAGAUCAUACAGAACACCGAUUGCGAAGGCAGCUUACUAAACAAUAACUGACGCUGAAGCACGAAAGCGUGGGGAUCAAACAGGAUUAGAUACCCGAGUAGUC
rnacentral:rRNA from 1 species